rnacentral:lncRNA from 1 species
UUUAAUCUUGACAUAUUUCUUUGUUAGAAUCUUAUAUCCAUGAUAAUUCCUUGGACAACUAUGAGAUCCAUUCUCCGCUCUCUCUAAGACAACAUUACCUCUGCUCUUUUUCAUUUUCAAAAAUCUUAUGGCCAAAUUGCUUCUGAACUUGGCUGUAAUAAAGUUACUAUAUCUAAACUAGUAAAAAAAUAUUACUUUUAAUAGUAAAAACCUUAAAUUAGAUAGACCAAAGAAACUCAAUGUAUUAGAUCAAAGAGCAAUCAUUUGCCAAUCAACACUAAGAAGGCUGAAAAUGUUGUUGAGGUUGCUAAAAACCUUAACAAUAUUAUCAGUAAUCUUGUGUCAAUC